GGAAAAGACCUCGAAGAUCAUCAAGUCCAACUACAGCCUAACCAUAGUAUGUUAACUCUAACAACCCUCUGCUAAAUCAUAUCCCUGAGCACCACAUCAAAAUGACUCUUAAACACAUGAUAUUAAACACAAGAUAUUAUGUACCUGAACGUGUUUUAAGAGCAGGAUGGCAUCAUCUGUUGGUUUUCGUGUGAGAGAGGCUGGAAAAGAGGAAGCUGAAAACUGCAAUUUUUAAAUAUGCAUCUAAAGAUGUCCAUUGCUAAUUUUAUCAUCUGUAGGAUGGAUUGAGAAAGUCAACAAACGUUUGGGCUGUAAAGUCUCUUGCUGAUAUGUUUUGGCUUGUGGGAUGAUUUACUCAGAGGAUAUAUCGAGAUAAGUGUUGCAAUAUAUUUACAUAGACAAGAAAAAGCUGUCAGGAAAAUUAAUAUGUAUGCUGAAAAAUGUACCUGAACAUGUUAAAAUGUGUACUUUUUUGUAUGUAAGAAUUAUUACCUGCAUGCGCUGAAAGUGAGGACUAUGCAUGUAUGUGAUUAAGAUAAGGAAGGUGUGUAUAAACGUGUGUGACCUCUUGAAAUGUGUGAAUGCUUCUUCUCACCUCUUAUUCUCCUCUCAAAUCUCAGGAUGCUUCUUCCCUCUCACUCUUUUAUUUUAUUGCCUCCUAAGUUGAUUUAUUUAAUUAAUGGUAAUUCUGGAGAGUUUUUCUUUUUGGCAAAAUAGAAGGCGAGAGAAUGAGUCUCCAUAAAUACUAACUUACCUUUUUUCUAACAAUUUUUUUUUGAAGUUACCUCUUGCAGGAGGUCUUCUGAUUCAAGUACCUCUCUGCCACCGUCUGCUCCUCAGGUUUUCCGAUUUUGCUUUCUUUUUUUUCUGCUCUUUUCUUCCUCUUUUCCAUUUUAUCCUCCUACCUUUGAUCUGAGCAGCAAAUAUCCUUAUGAUAUUUACAGGAGAAGUAAUAUUUGGAUAGUUCUUUGUUUGGUAUUUCCAUUGAAAAUAUCACAAGCAGUCAUGUUUCCAUGAUAUUUCCAUUGACAUUAGCUUGAGAAUGACUUCCUUUAAUCGGGCUUAUGGGGCUGGUGAAGCUUCAUAUUCAUUACCAGUUUUGCAUGUUUACUUUGUCACUUUUAAAAUGAUUUGAUAAAUGAGAAUGAAUGGGGAGGAAAUGAUUGCAAUCAAUUUAUUUGUCUUUAGUAUGAUUGAACUCUGUAGUGCAGUGAUGUUCAUCUUCAGGAAGAAUAUAUUGAAAGUUUUGGUGUUUUUUUUCAAUUUAUACAAAAAAUUAUUCAAAUUAUACAAAAAUAAUUUAUUAAAUGGUUAGUCUAUCUAAUUGUUAUGGUUGUUGCUGGAACAGUUUUUCCUCCUUUUAUUCUAAUUUGAGAAACAAGGAUUGCAAAAUUGUAAGCAUUUUUGUAAUAUUCUCUGUCCUGUCAUCUAAACUUUUAAACUUGUUUUGUAAUUUAUUUUCUCUGUUUUCAAAUCUACUUUAAUGUAAGACAAAGAUGUCUACUUUAAUGUAAGAUAAAUUGUGCAUGGAUUUAUAAAAUGUCUAACUAAAAUCUUUUGUUCUUUGAAGUGAUAAACAGAAUGAAAUAUGUAGAUAGGCAACGAUGAAAAUAUGCUGAUUUCCCAGGUAAAGAAAUAUGUAAUUCCAGGUUAUUUCUGGAGAUGGAUGACUUUAGAAUGUGGAUUCUUGAUCUUGUUACUGACUGAUGGUAUGAGGGAGAAGGAGUCAGUCAGGAGACGUAGGUUCUAUUCUUUGCUUUUUCACAGAAUUACUAGUUUUCUGCAACUCAGUCAUCUAUUCUCUGUAGUUAAGUAAAAUACCUUCUCUUCUUCGUAGGAAAAUGAAGUGAAUAUUAAUAAAUUAAUGAUAGUAGGGUGCUGUACAAAUAUUUAGCUAAAUCAGUGCAUUAGGACGCACAUUUGCAUGAAACUAUACUAGAGUGUUACUUAGAGCCAGCCAUGCUGCCUCUUUUGAACUCUGGUUAAUACUUUACCUUAAUUUGCACCUGGCAGGCACUACAGAAACAAAUAGGUUCUAAGCUGGGUGAAGUAUCUCCCAGUUGAAAUGCGAAAUGCAUCUCACUGUAACAGGUGCUCUGAUAAAUUAGAAAUCCAACAGUGAGUCAGAAUUCAGAACCACAACGUUUGAAAUUUCUCACAUUCUUCCCAUCAAUUUUGACAGGUUUUUGAUUGCUUGUUUAUAAAUUCUGGUGUCCUGUGAUGAAUGGCAGCUAGCUAACAAAACAGCCCUAUUUUUAUCCCUGUCUCUCUGACAAAUGAAUUCAAAUAACACGGAAGGGAAAAAAAACAAUUAAGAAAAUUUAAGUAUUUUGCAUUAAUCAAAUUGUGAAAUCUUUUGCAGAAGAGGACUUCCAGUUUUGCUAAUUUAUUUAUUUUAAAAGUGUCUUUGGAAUUUUGCUAUGACAUUUACCCUGUGUUUUGAAAGCUUCUCAAAAGCCCCAGAAGGCUACCAGUUCAUAUGAAUACCCAGCCAUUGCCAGGAAGGCUCACUUGAAGGAGGCUGCUGAGGUGCAGGGGCAGUGCUUUUCUAGAACACAGUUAGGAAAAGAUCAUGUUGUGAGGAGGUGAGGACCUUCUUCAAGCCUGCGUACAGAGAAGCUGCGGUGGCUGAGGCUGCAGAUCCUCCUUAUGCCAAGAUGCCUCGAUAGCAAGCUGAGGAGAUGAAAACCCUACCAAAGUGACAACUGUCAUGUAGUGUGCCUUGAUAUUAGCGUCAGAAUUUUCCAGCGUAACAGAGAUCUGCAUUGAUUUAAUGAAGCUUGGCUUCCUGUAGGCUUGCAUCUAAUAAUUACCUGGCUUUGGAACAGUGUCUCAGUUCCAGCCACCUUCUCCAUUUGGGGCUCUCUAGCGUGCAGAUUCCUUACACAACCUCACAGGAACUUUUAAUGCAAAACAUGGUGUCUUCUCAUCAACAUUCUGCAAUGUUCUUAUAUGCUUUUUAAUCAAUUUUUUUUUUAAUUUUUUUUAUUUUUUAAAUGAGCACAUAAUUGCACUCACUAUAUAUUUAAUCUGACAUAUUUGACUGAAAUUGGCUAACAGUUCUCAGAAUUCCUUAGGAACCCACAUGCAACCCACAGACCUUGUUUGCUGAGAAAAGUCAGCCACAGUAAUAGCUCACAUUAUUUUCUAUAUAUUCUUUUGGCUUCUCCUUAACUCAGUUGUGAUGAAGUAAACUACAAAAUUUGCACUUUAAGGUGUGUUGCAAGGGCUUAACUUUCUGUUCUGUUUCUGUUGUUUCAGAUUUGGAUUAUAACUCUUGUCAUUAGCCUGCAGGACGCUGAAAAAAUGAUGCAUUCUGUGACUUUCUUCUCUGCCCUAGGGGCCUGCAAGUUCUAGAAAAGACCAGAGAAUAACCAUUCUGCAGUCUACAGUGGACCUGUAGCAAAGCAUCUGGCAGUUGGGAAAAGUGAAAUCCAUUGGUUACUUGCAGGCUUCUGCAGAGUGGGAGGACUUGGCCUGAAUGGGACCAGUUAAAGGUGCUGUGCUUUAACUUGGCAGGCAUCUCAGAACCACGCAGCUGUUGGCUCACCUCCUACCUCCUGUGGGACCAAGGGAGACUGUGAAGAAAAAUACAAGAACUCAUGGACUGAAGAAAGGGCCUUUCAAUAACUGAAUUAUCUUCUACCUUCAGAAUUGAGACCUCAGUGCUAUGCUGAGGAUUUCAUCUGGCUUUAUGUGCUAUUUAAGACAUGGAGAGAAAUUAAGGACCUUCUGUUUCCCAUCUAGCGAGCACUAAGGCUGGAGAUCUGGGCAUAAUUGCGAGCUGCUGCUUUGGAGGAAGUCAGUAACCGCAUUUACAUUUUUUGAGCCUUUCCAUCAGCUAUUUCUUUUAAUGUGAAAUUCAUGUCACUUUGUGCCAUAGGGAAUAGAAGCCACUGUGUAACAUAUUCCUUUUCCUAAAGAUACUGCAAUUUUGUGCUGAUAUAGUUCACUGGCCCUCUUGCAAUUGGCUUACUUCAGUUGUGUGUGGGCUUGUCUGUAAAACACAGCCAGGUCCCAUCAGCAACUUCAGCAGCUGAUUUGUGUCUGUUGGUACCAGUGGAAUCUCUGGCCUAUGGGCCAGACCCAUUCAUUUGCUGGAAAAGCACUGAUACAAGCCCUAUUCUGUAUGUUUGGCCAGCAGACAUUCAAGGAAAUAGUAAGAUGUAUCCAGAGGAAUCUAUGCCUGGGUGAGAAAACUGGAUGUCCAAAGUCUUCUUUGACAGUUGUGUUCAUCAGAGGGGCACUGCUUGGAUGGGGAGCAGCUCCCUGCAGCCAAGCAGAGGCAUAACAUGACCUGGUGCUUGAAAACAAAGGAAAGCAGGGGUUUUAUUUGUCUCAGCUAAACCUCCUGCUGCAAAUUUAUAGGCUUUUUAACUCGCAGUGCUACUUGUCAGUCUCUGAACAGAUGCACAGCCUUCAGGCUCUCGUUGCUUGCCAGCAACUGGCAUCCUGCUGGGAGCGGUGGGAGGACUUGCAGUGUGAAGCAGGGCAACCUAAUAAUAGCACAGGAAAACACUGAAACCAGUGCUUGCACAAAGCAGUACAGAAGUAUAACCUGCAGUUUGGCUGCUUUUUUUUUUUUUUUCCCAUGCUAGCAGAAGAAUGCCUGGUGAAAACCCAUGGGCCACUGACUUGAGCACAGCUUGGCAGCAGGAUGCUGAGAACCUUGGCCAAGAUAACCAGAUGUUUGAGUUCCCCCAAUUCUGAAAGGAGCCAUAGAUACGUGAAAAUAAACUUCUCUAAGCAGACGUGCAUCUCAGGUUGUUCAAAAUUUGUAGGAUCUAGUUUGUGUUUGAGAGAGAGCAAGGGAAUAGAAAAAGCAUGGGGAGCAUGUGUUGUUAUUUUUCUCACUGUUAGAACUGUAGGUUUGAAGUUCUUUACCUUACAGGUUGCUAAAGGUUAGAUUCAACCCAGAUGACUUCUCAUAAGCAACACGUGAUUUGAAUGAAUGAGGUGAGGCUGAUGGUUACAUGCAUUUCUAAACUGAGGGAGAAAAUGUCCUGUCUGCUGUGAAGAAGAGGCAAGAUGGGAAUUAAAAAUAUAACUUUGGGAAGAAUAACAUUGAGAUAAUGUCCAAAAAUCCCUCUUGUACUUAGUGGUUUUCCAAGAGAAUCACCUUUGUAUGAAGAUGCUCAGAAAAGAGUACUCAAAGUUCAUCUCAGACCUUUUAGGUGCUAUGAUCCGGGAGGUGAUUAAAAUGGAUGGGUAAAAUGGCCUAAAAAGUUUACAGAGUGAAAAAGUACAUGGUGACACUGUUGUUAAUCACAUACAUGCACAUCUUCCACCAUGGGGGUGAGGUCUUCUGAGGGUCUCCACCAGCACCCUUCUGCUUCUCUCACAAGGAGAUUGAGGUGCUGCUAACAAUGUUAUCGCAGCUUUUUCUCAGUGCAGGGAAUAUGGUUUGAUUAAAAAUAUCAAUAAGUUUGCAAGGGGAAUAAAAACGAUACUCACUUUUGGUAUUUUCAAGGCCAAUUAAUUUUUUAAUUAACAGAAGUAUGCUUGAAAAUGUAAAACACUCAUUUCUGGAAAUUGGUCUGUUUCCAGUCAUUGCUGGAUUUUUUUGGUAGGCUGUAUAUUUUAAAGUAGAAAAUGAAAUUUUCAUGCAGGAAGAUGAAUUGUUUAACUUCCAUGGAAGUCUUUAAUUCUUUUGUCUUCUGAUUUUGUUGUAUUUUAUUAUGUUUAUAUGUGUGCAUACCUACUGUUAUGAUUAAAAGAGCAUAAUAAAUUUGCAGUGCAGUUUCAUUAUAGUUUUCAGUGCUUGCUUCAAAUUAACUUAUAGUUUCCAUCCAUUUCUUAAGCAUUUCUCCUAUUCUCCUAUUUCUCUCAUUUCCAGUGUCGUAUUUACUGAAUCAUCUUUAUGGCGUUGCCAUUAAGGAUUCAUUGUAGUUUACACUGUACACAGAGUUAUUCAGGAGUUCAUAACUCAGUCUGUUUAAUUUCAAUCAUGCUGAAACUUGGCAUAUAAAUUGUCAAUUUGAAUGCAAAUUGUUUUUUUUUUCUUCCUUAUUUUUUUUUUUCCUUAUUUUGUUUCUAGUGUCUUCAAUUGAUUAAGCCUUUUAAAACUGCAGAGAUGGAGAAACCCCAAAAGUGUCAAAUCUAAUAAGUCUGUAUGUGACAAGAAUCCCCAACCCUGACAAAAGUUUUUAAAUUCCAAACAAUUGAAUUCAAAACUAUGAUCUGUGCCCCAGUUGGGAUGCUGCCUGUCUCCAGAGGUGACCCUUUUGUUACCUUGGUAGCUGUCUGUGCUCUCGAAACAUGCAGGAAUGUGUCUGAAGGUGGUGGUUCCUGUGUCCCUGAUGGGCUGGAUCCCAGUCCUGCUUGGAGAAGGAUGUAUCUGCAAGAAUAUGUCUAUGGAGAAAAGCUUUCCAAUGAUAAUGAAAGGAUUUUUUUUUCUCAUGAAGGCAAGAACUGGUUUCAGUCUCCCUGUCUAGGAAGAUGGGAUUUAUCUUGAUGUUUUAGAAGAGAAUUUAAUUAUUAGGAUAUACACAGGGACUGGGAAGUUCCCUAUAUGUAUCUAUUCUUGCAGCUGUGUACUGUACGUGGGAGUUGAUGAGGUCAGGAGGAGAUAGGCAAGCAGAGAGUCUGAUGUGAUGACCUCAUGGUGAGAGGUACAACAUGGAACUGCUUGCAAACACCAAAGGGCCUUAUAGUUGCCUGCAGUAUGCUAUUGCUUUGUAUUUUAUCUUUAUAACAACUUAAUAUGUGUGGAUAACCUAGAUUUGAAAUGAUUGCCAAACUGUUACCUGUUCAGCCAGGAGCCUUGACAAACUUCUUUUAAGCUCACCAUACAAAAACAUUCCCAGUACAAAGAGCAUUGCAUAUCUCCUCCUGCCAAACAACCUUGGCAAGCCUUCCCUUGAACAAUUCUUAUUUGCUUCCAUUUAAUUAAGGAGCACUUCCCUGCUUUGUGAUUAUUGUCCUUGCCUGAAGUUGUUCCCAUUAUAGAGAUGAAUAAGUAUUUCUCAACGUUAGUUUUUUACCUGCUACUUGGUAAUUUGUUAUGCCACUGGGGACCUAUAACUUGUCUUUGCCUUUUUGUAUCUACCAAGUUUGACUCUUCUUGAUUCUCUGUUCUUAUCUUGCAUGACUUUUGUUUUGUCCUUCCCACUUACAAAUUCUUAGAACUCCUGUUCUUUUGUUGCAAUCUAUUCUAACUUUUUAUUUUGUCAUGGAAUAUGUAUCCUGUGUUUAGGUAGGAGGUCUCUCCUUAUUCUUAUACCUUUUCCAGGAGCUGUUUGUGCCACACAAAUGUGUGAAAUGAGAAGCAUAAAUUAUCACAGACUUUCUCUAAGUACAGGAAAUGAAUCUUAUUCUCCCACUUUGUGAA